AUUAUAUAUGAGAUGGUCUCUUCUAAUUAAAAUAUAAAAUGAUUGACCCAAAUAUCAUUGAAGAACUACAAAGUUUUAGUGUUUCGUAUCACUGGUUGGAGGUACACAACAUGGAAGUUUACUACAUUGAAUUGGUUCGCAUAAUGAUGGAUCUCGACAACAAGGAUUUAAACCUUGUACACCACCAGCUAGAGCUCCUAAGAUUGCAACAAGUAACAAGACAUACUUCAAUAAACUCUUCACUGAAAUUUCCAUCUUAACAAACUUGCUUUGCAAAAAAUAGUUAAUUAGAUAUCUUAUGUGUAGUGGUAUACUAAAGCAAUGUGUACUUAUUUAUAUGUCAUGGGAAAAAUCCUUUAAAAUAUUAUAUUUGUAAUACAUCUGAACAUUAAUAUAAUAUGUAACAAUUGACUAUAAAAGAAAAGAAAAAAAAAGUACAACCUUAAGUUUUUAUCAUAAAUGUAUUUUCUAGAGGUUGACUAACUUCUAAUACUUUGUUAUUUUAUUUUGCUAUAAAUAAAGAUAUAAUUUAAUUAUAAAUAUAUUCCAUUUGACUAACAAAAGGUGUACUGAGAAUUUUUCAUUUUUCAUAAUUCAUUUUACCUACUUCAUAAGUACAUAUGCUUAUUAAUAAAUAGUAUUACAAGUAUUAAAAUUAUUAUUAUAAUAUAUAAUACAUUAAGUCUCGUUACAUUAUCUUAAGUCAUAUAAAAUAAAUUUACUUCACAUAAGGCUCAGGAAGUGUUGUAAGUUAGUCAUUAGAACUAUUUUAAUUAGUAAUAAUAAAUUUUAAUUUUAAAUAUUUUAAAAAUAUGUAUAAAACAUGUAAUGAGAAUUAAUAUUAUUUAUAUCAGUUUGGUAUUAAAUGUAUACGCAUAUCUAAGUAUUAAUUAAUAAAAUUCAACUAACUAUAAAUUUAAAUUUGAUAUUUUUUAAUAUAAAUCAAGCUUAAAUAUUACUAUUAAAAUAAUAUUAUGUAAAUACAAUUGAUAUUUUGAAUUUAAAAAUUUUCCUAUUUAAGAUUAAUAAUUUAAAAAUAAAUUAAUAUGUACCCAUCUUAAAUUGUAAAUGGAUGUUUUAUAUUUUUUUUUAAAUGUAAUAUAAUUUUAUAUUUAUCAAUUUGUAUUUCUAUUUUAAAAAAUUGCAAUUUAUAUUAGUUAAACAUUCAUAUUAAAUUAACAAUUAAAUAAUUAUAAAGCCAAUACUUUUAUCUUGGCAGCAUGAGAGCUUAUAAUAUCAAUAUAAUUUAUUAAAACAAAUCAUCAAAAUAAUAUGUUACAUAUCACAUCCUUACAUAUCAUGUAACACUACUUUUGCCGUAUCAUUUAAUAUGAUGUGACACCUCUAGAAUUUAUUUAUUUUUUAUUCUACAUUCUACAAAUUCUUUAUCUAUAUCUCUAUAAUUAAAAAACAACAAUAAAAAUAUAACUCUCAUUACAAGCUUGAUUUAAUUGUUAAUUACUUUUUUAAUUCAUUGCAUAUAAUACAUCACAAUAUAUUAAUUACAUUUUAUUAAUUAAAAUGUAGCAACCAUAAAUUAUCAUAAAAUAUAUAAAAACAUAAUAAUCACAUGAAAAAUCAAUAAUCAAACUUAUGCACAAACAAUCCAAUGAAGUUUAAAUUAGCAAACAUUUGCAACAACAAAAAAACCAACAAAUAAUUUUUUAAAUAAAAAUAUUAAAUUAUACAUUAAAUAUUUUCAAAAUAAUAUACAAUUUGUGUUCAUUUUUCUUUUACUAGUAUUCGGAUACAUAUUAUAUUCCUUUAAUACAAAGAAAGUAUUUAUCUAUAUAAAUUGUUCAUGAAAAUAAAAAUACUCAUUUCAAAAUAUUAAAUUUAUAGAUUGAAUAAAGUAUAAAUCAAAGCAUAGUUUUAAUUAACUGCAAAAAUAGUCAAACUCAAGUAGUGAUUACUUUUCAUUCUCAACAUUAUUUCGUGUUUUUAUCAUAAAAAAUAAUACUUUGAGUUUAUUUAUUUUAUACAAUCUCCAAAAAGAAUAAUUAAAUCAAAAGUUUAAGUGGAAAUGAGACAUGAAACAUAAAAUAUAAGAAAUAAUAGUUCAUUCAAUUAGUCAAAAAAAGAAUAAAGAAAUAAUAGUACUCAAGAUAAAAAGUAAAAUAAAAAUAAAAAUAUUGAUCGAUAUAAAAAUCAAUGCUUAUAAAUAUAUCUAAAAUCAAUGAUUGCAAAAUAUGUAUUCUAUUUUUUAUAGGAAGAAAUUAUUCUAUAAAUGUUGAAUGUUUAAAACAAAAUAAAAUGUGUACAAACAAUCACUCAUCUUUUUUUAAUAAUAUUUUUAGACUGAAAAUCACUCAUUUUAUUUAAAUCUUUUUAAUUAUGUAUACAAACACUAACUUAUCUUUUAUUAAUCAUAUUUUUUUGAGUGAAAAUCACUAACUUUAUCUUUCAAUUGUUUUCAUUCUAUUUAUUCUUUUGUUCUAAUUAUAUUUUAGUUUGUUCUAAUGUUGAAACUCGUAACUCUAUUACAUGGAACUUUUGCCUCUUUUAUUUAUGCGAGAAGUUUACGUGCCUCUAGGUUUUUUAGUUAGUUUUUUUGUUUUGAGUCAUUUUUUUUAUAGGAUAAAAAUCAAAUGCAAAACAUAAGUACUACUCUUGUAUUAUAAAAUAGUUUAGGGAAAAUUAUCAUUAAGUAAGAAAAUAAAUUAGUGAGAUUUUACAAUAAUUUUUAUAGAGAUUUGAACUUUAUCCCUUAAGUUAACAAUGUCAAAUUCUUACCAUUGAACUAAUAUCUUAUGGAUAAAUAUGAAUUCUAAUAAAAACAUAUAUUCUAUUUUUUUACAUAUUUAAUAUUUUUAAUACCUUACAUUAUUUAAUCAUCAAUUUCAAUAAAUUUUAACUUUUUUUAAGUUAGGUUGAUUUGAACAUGACACAAGAACUGAUAAAUCACAUUUUUGUUGAACGUGAAGGGUAUAUAUGUUUUGCUUAUAUUAAAUAUGAAAAAUUGCCACUAUUUUGUGAAUCUCUUAAGGUUCUAGGGCAUUCUAUAUAGAAGUAUAGAAAGUUUUCUAAUGACCAGUCAUGUAAUAGCUAAAUAUUUUGAAGAUGUUGAUAAAGAAGCGAGUCCAUAAAAACAUUGAUUUUUUAGGCAAUGUCAAAACUGAAGGUGCAAACAAAGAAAGUAAUGGUGUUAGUACUAAUAAAAACAUUGAUUUUUUAGGCAAUGUCAAAACUGAAGGUACAAACAAAGUAAUGGUGUUAGUACUCAUCGCGUUCCUAAUUCUCCUUUUGUUGUGUAAUAACUCAUUUAAUUAAAAAUAUGUUAAAAAUAAAGUGUAGUCAAAGUAGUAACACAUUAAUUUAAAAAUAAAGAAUUUUAAUUAAAAUAGGAAUUGGUAAAUAGAUAAUAUGGAAAAUGUCCUAGGGACAAAAAGGAGAAUUUCCUUUUUUCCCCUCAUUUUUAUUCUUCCCAAGAAAAAUACUAAUUCAUUAUCUCAUUUUUCCCUUCUCCUUCAUAUAACCAGACUGAAAGAUAACUCCAUUGUUCAUGUUCACCUUAUCUUCCAAAUCGUCCAUUUUUUCUUCUCUUCCAAAUCUUCCAAGACUAGAAGUUUACUGAAGUCCCCCAAAUCUGCCCAGCAGCCUUGUAUGUGGGAAUCUGUCUCUUCAUCGGUGAAGCAGGGAAUCUGUCUUCAAGAGGAACUCAGAGCUGCUUUGGAUCAGAUCCUUCUUCUUCUUCAGUGCAAUUUAUAUGAGUCCUUUACGUUAAAUUAUUUUAGCAUGAGGGGUUGUGGAUAAAGUUAAUUGAAUAUUCUUCAUUUACUAGUGAAAUAAAAACAUUGAUUUUUUAGGCAAUGUCAAAACUGAAGGUGCAAACAAAGAAAGUAAUGGUGUUAGUACUAAUAAAAACAUUGAUUUUUUAGGCAAUGUCAAAACUGAAGGUACAAACAAAGUAAUGGUGUUAGUACUCAUCGCGUUCCUAAUUCUCCUUUUGUUGUGUAAUAACUCAUUUAAUUAAAAAUAUGUUAAAAAUAAAGUGUAGUCAAAGUAGUAACACAUUAAUUUAAAAAUAAAGAAUUUUAAUUAAAAUAGGAAUUGGUAAAUAGAUAAUAUGGAAAAUGUCCUAGGGACAAAAAGGAGAAUUUCCUUUUUUCCCCUCAUUUUUAUUCUUCCCAAGAAAAAUACUAAUUCAUUAUCUCAUUUUUCCCUUCUCCUUCAUAUAACCAGACUGAAGGAUAACUCCAUUGUUCAUGUUCACCUUAUCUUCCAAAUCGUCCAUUUUUUCUUCUCUUCCAAAUCUUCCAAGACUAGAAGUUUACUGAAGUCCCCCAAAUCUGCCCAGCAGCCUUGUAUGUGGGAAUCUGUCUCUUCAUCGGUGAAGCAGGGAAUCUGUCUUCAAGAGGAACUCAGAGCUGCUUUGGAUCAGAUCCUUCUUCUUCUUCAGUGCAAUUUAUAUGAGUCCUUUACGUUAAAUUAUUUUAGCAUGAGGGGUUGUGGAUAAAGUUAAUUGAAUAUUCUUCAUUUACUAGUGAAACUGUUUCUGGGCAAAAAAGGGUUAGAAAAAUUCAGAGAAAGUGAGGAAUUGGAACUUUUAAGCGUGUAGAGGUUAUGAAAUUUGCACCCAAAACUGUGUUUAGUUAUCAUGCAUGUUUUAUUUUAAUUGUGUGAUGAUUACGCUGAUAAGUUAGUUAGGAAUCUAGGCAAAAUAUGAUUAAGGAUUGUUCAGAUGUGUAGCUUACAAUGGGAACUGACAUGUAUCCCCAAUGCUUUAAUCGAAGGAAACUAUUUGAGGUUGUGCUUAUAUUUUUCAAAAAUAUUAAGAAAGAAAGAAUGUUUUAAGUUAAGCUUUUAUGAAAAUUGAAGCUGAGAGUUUUAUCUUGAGAUGCAUAAUAUUUUCGUAUUUUUUGUAUAUUUAUGAAAGAAAUACUUUAAAACUACCUCUUCCUUUAUUUUCAUAGCUCAUUGAGAUAUUUUCAACACACACCAUUUAUUUUUAUUUAGCAGUUGGAGGCGCAUUAGAUAUGGAUUUAGCAUCAGAAGAUCAAUUCUAGACUUGUGAAAUUAAAAUUGGAUGUUUUUAUUUUAUAAUAUAUAAAACAAUCGUAUGUUACUUUUCAAGAUGUCAUAUUUUAUGAAUCUAUUGAACAAGUUGUAAACUAUAUUCGUGAAUGUAAUUUUCACUUAUGCAGGUGAUUCUAACUUGUUAUUCAUUAGUAUUUACUUUGUUUUAUUAAGGUGUAGGGGUCCAAUUUUCAUAUUCUAAACAAUUGGCAAUGGGUCUUACAUGUUGAUCACAUUCCUAAUGUUUAAUUUAAGGCAACACGGUUAUUGAAAUUUUUUAUCCCUCAGAUCAUAAAAUAAUUCAUAAGAAUCAUAAUGAAGCAUUUGAUCUAGAUUCAGUUGACAAUUUAAAUCCUAAGAAGUAUCAUGAGGAAGUGGUACCCUAUUCACUCCCUUUGUAAGAUUCUUAUAACAAAUUAUGCCAAAAAUUUGAUAAAGAUGAUUAUGAUGCAACUCACGAGGCCUUUGGAUCAACAUUGUUUUAUUUAGAUAACAUAGAACAACCACAAGGUGAUCAUCAUGAUCAAUAUAUACAUACUUUCAAUACUCAAAAUGUUCAUCAUCAAACAGAGGUGGUAUGUUGAUGUUUCCUAUAGCGGCUUCUUCACUGAAUCCAGACAUGUUGAACUAUUGGAUAUUUUCUCAGACAAUGUAAAGUGCUCAGCCUUGAUACUGAACUCUGAUACCAAUUAAAGGUUCAAACACAAGAAAGGGGAUCAAUUGUGUUUGACUAACUUGACAACUUUUUCAUUAUUUGAUUAAACUGGUUCAUACUUGAUGAUUUACUUGGAGUAGAAGCAAUAACAAAACUAAGGAGUGCAUGAAUCAAGUGAUAAAAGUAAUUCAUCCUAGUUCAACACUAACUUGGCUACAUCCAAUCCCUUCACUCAAAAGAAUUUAAUCCUCUAAUUCAACAACUUGAAUUACAAAGCACAUGAACCUCCAAGUCUGUCUUCUCAAACAGCUUGACUACCCCAGAAUUUUGAGGAACACACACACUUUGAGUCUACUAGGCAAUUCUUCUCGAUACAAUCUGACAACCCCAGAUUGUUGAAGGAAAACUAACACCACUGUCAGGUUUGAAUACAAUGGUUUGAAACUUGAGUAGUUGAUUAUAACAAUGACUACCACACUCUAAGAAAACACCUAGAAAGUAUUUCUCACUCGAACAAGUGUCUCUCUCUUUGAACUCUAAGAUGAAUUUCAAAUUUUGAGUUUGAGUUCUUCUACUCUUUUCUGAUUUUUCGAUGAUCUUCUUAUUUUGCCUUGAGUAUCUAUGUAUAGAUAAAGUAAGGUUUUUCAAUUCAGUCCUUGUUUAAUUCUGAAUAAUAUAUUCAUUCCUAGCUUGGUCAACAAUUAUCUUAUUCAAAAAUAAUUCUGAACAAGGUGUUUUCUGAUAAUAUAUUCUUUAGCCAAUUCUUUAUUUAUGAAUCCAAUCUGAGUAGUUCAUCUAGAUUGAUUAUGUUUGUCUUUUGUUAUGAUUGAGUUUGUAAAUUCUUUAGAUUGAUAUUGUUCUUAUUUUGUUAAGAUUGAGUUUGUAAAUUCUUCAUAUUGAUACUGGUUUUAUUUUGUUAAGAUUGAGUUUGUAAAUUCGUCAGAUUGAUAUUGUUCGUAUUUCGUUAAGAUUGUUUUCGCAAAUUCUUCAGAUGAAACUUCCUUCAUAUUGCUUGCUUUCAUCUGAGCAAGAACAGUGUAGGACCGAUUCUUGAACUUUCACAAUAUGACUAUGUCCAAUUCAAUAUUUUAUCAUUUGUUAAAAUCUGAAUCAUAUAUUUGCAAAUAAUAAAUGUAUCUUCCUGUGAGUGUUUCCUAUUAUAAAUAAUACUUGAUCAUAUUUUCUUGUAAAUAGUUCAUAUCUUCUUGUAAAUAAUUUAUAUAUUCUUGUAGAUAAAUCUUCAUCAAAUCUUCUUGUAAAUAAUUUAUAUCUUUAGUUAUAAAUCUAAAUCAAAUCUUAUUUUAGAUUGUCUUCAAAAACGCGAAUCUUCUUUUGUACUAUGUGAAGUCAAAUGUGUUGUUCUCAUAAAAUAAUUUUGUUAAUGUCAAAACUUUAAGUAAAAAAUGAACUUGAUUCCAACAAUUUGAAUGGUUUGACUAUGUGUUUGCAAAUUCGAAGUUUGGGAGAAGCUCUCCUUUGAUAUGUGAAUGUGAUUUAUUAGUUUUAUUUACUUGUUUAAUUAGGAACAACUUUUAUAUAUAUAUAUAUAAACCACUUAUUUUAAUCACAUGAAAAAAAACGACUUGGGGGAACGAUUUCAAGCCAAAAAAUGACUUUAAGUCAUCCUUCUCCAAUCGUAUUGUUGAUUGUAAAUAAUUUAAGUUUGAUUGAUUCUAGUAUGAAAUUCAUAUUAUUAACAAUAGUAAUUCUUAAAUAUUCAAGUUUGAUAGAACUUUAAAGUUAGUAUUUGUAGAAGAAAAAAAAUUUGUGAAUAAGUUAAAGUUGAUUAUUUAAAAAAAAAUGAAAAGUAAUUAUAUGUUUGGAUUAUUGUUGAUUUAUUUUAAAGAAUUUAAUUGUGUUGAAUAUUGUUGAUUUAUAAAAUUAAAAUUAUUUUAUGAUGAUUUUAUUUAAAAUUUAGAGUUAUCGAAAAUUUACUUCAUAUUUUACUAUGCGUUGUUUUUAAGAAAAUCUAAAAGAUUAGCUUUGAUGUAGAACUAUUUUAUUUUAGAAACUUUGAUGCAUUGAAAUUUUUUUUAUGGUUUAUAUAUAAUCUAAUUUUUCAAUCAAGAUAUACGUUGAAAAUAAUAAUAUCUAGAGUUCUUAAAUAUCUAGAAAGUUUUUUUUUCUAUGGUUAAAAUAUGAGUAAUUUCUGGUGCUAGAUGAUUAGUAAUACUUUUAUAAUAUUUAAGUGUAGACAUUAUUUUUCUUUUUAUUUUAAUAUUAUUUAAUUUUGAAAAUAUUUUUUCCACUACUUUAUUUAUUUUGAUUUUCUAAUGUGUUAUAUUAUCUUCGAGGAAAUAGUUACUUAUCUUAUUAGUGACUUAUUUGUUUCAGUUAGUUUGUAUUAAGUGUGUCAACUCAUAAGGAUUAAUUCAAAUAUAAAUAAAUUUAAUUCUGGUAAAUUUAAAAUAGUUGAACUUUUACAAGAAUAUAUUACGUUUUUAGAAUCAUUAUUUUAGUUGUGAAAUAAACAUAGAAUCGUGGUUUCAAUUUGUUGAAUUAGUUAUAUAAAUGUGAAUACGGAAUUACGUGUAUUUCGGGUAUUCUAAGUGUUGGGAUUUAGUAAAUAGAUUUUAGAAUAGUUAGAAAUGUUUAAAAGUUAGCAAUUCUACUUGUAAAUUAUAAAUAUAUUAUUGUGAAUGUGUAAUUAAGUGAAUUUUAACUUGAAGUAAGGGGUAUAAGUUGUGGCGAUGUCUUCUUACUCAUGAACAUGUUAAAAAAACCUUUUAAAUAACUAUCUUUGAAUCUAAUGAAUAUAAUUAUGACUAUCUUAAUUAAUUGACUGUAUGAGUAAGAGAGACGAGCUACCUCGAUAACUCAUCAUCUAUAAAAGAGGCGACUAUAAAUCAUUGUUAUAAUUGUUAGAAAUACUUGUUAAUUUUAAUUUUGAAAUAGUUGAAAAACAUGUUCAUCUCUUAUGUCAUGUUGUUGUGAAUAGUAUCUCUAUCAUUGACAUUUUAUUUUUCUUGUUUUGAUUAUUUAUAAAGUGUAUUGUUAUAGAGUAAUUGAUCGUAAAUCUCUUAUAGUGUCUUUAAAUUGUUAGAAGGAUUCCUUUUAUAAUCCCUAAAGAUUUGAAAUAAUGAAAUAAUUUAUAUUACUCAUUAAAUCAAGUAUGUAUAAAAUUAUAAUACCACAACAAACACGUAUAAAACAAAUUAAUCAUAAAAUUAAUCAAUAUAUAUUUUAAAAUAAUUAAUUAUUUAAAAUCCUAUUUAAUUAAAAAAUAGUUUAUAAUAAAUUUUUGGUAUUACAAGAGGCACUCUUCCAUCCCUUUUUUUUUACUAAACUCUUUCAUCCUCCUUAUUAUUCUAUAUACUUGCAAUUUGCUUUAACACACAUUUUACUAUUACUAUUUUUGUAUCUGAUAUUUUAUAGAACUAUUCAUGUAUCAUGAGUUACAAAUUACAGUAUUAGUAAUUCGAUACUGAUUGCUCCUCCAUCGUUAUUAAUAAUGGUUCUUUUAUCCUUUUAAAUAACCAAAAAAUCUGAGAUUUUUUUAUAUUUUUCGAGUUUACAUCUUUGAUUUUUAAGUUUGUUUAUACGCUUUGAUAUAUUUGUGGUCAAUUUUUGUGCGUUGACAUUUGAUCCAAAUACAUCAAUGUUUUUGACCAAAUUGUAUUUAUAUUUAAUUAAAAAGUAUAUUAUGUGUCAUUCAAUGUAUUUGUGUGAUAUCUUUUGAAACAUGUUUCUAAUACCAAUACACACCUCUUAAAUUUCAGUGAUAAUAUAAAUAAGUUAUAUAAUAUUAUUUGGAUGAUAAUUAUACUAUAUUUCUCACCUCAUCUUUAGACAUAUGGAGUCAAAAAGUGUAGCACACAACUCUUCAAGUUUCCUCAAAUGAAGAAUAAUAAAUAUCUUAUGACUAUGAGAUAAACCUACACCACAUUUUUUCUUAUUAGCGCUUGGGUAUAUAUUAUAUUCCUCCAAUAAAAAAGAAAAUGUUUACCUAUAAAAAUUGUUCAUGAAAAAAAUACACGCAAUCCAAAAGAUUUAUAGGUUGGAUGAACAAUAAAUCAAAACAUAAUUUAAUUUGACAACUAAAAUAAUUAAAAUCAAAUAAUCAUGCCUUAUCAUUUUAAAUGUUAUUUCGUGUUUUUGUCAUUUUACAAUUAUUUCCGUAGAGCUCUGAACAUGGUUUAUUAAAGUUACAAUGUUAAAUUUUUUCCACCGAAUUGACAUCUUAUGGAAUAAUAUGAAUACUAAUCUUAAAAGUAUUCUAUUUUUUUUUGAUAUAUUUAAAAAAGUUCUAUACCUUAAUUUAUUUAAAAAUAAAUUUUAACUUUUAUUUGAUUAUUGGUUGAUUUGGACAUGUCACUAGAGCUGAGAGAGAAAUGUAUGCAUCUUUUGUUAAUUAUAAAUAUGAAAAAAUUUCACUGUUUAGUCAAUCUUGUAAGGUUAUAAGACAUUCUAUAGAGAAAUGUAGAAAUUAUUUUAAUGCUCAUGGAAUAACUAAAUAUUUUGAAGAUGUUGUAUUUGUAAAGAAAUUGGUAAAAAAGUAUUUCCCUAAAAAUAUUGAUAUUUUAGGCAAUGUCGAAAAUGAAGGCACACAAAUAAAGAAAUUCAUGGUGUUAGUACACAAUGUAUGGUUAAUUUAUCCUUUUGCUGAUCUUAUUCCUAAUGAUUAAUUAGGAGGCAACACAUAUAUUGUAGAAUUUUAUCCCUCUAAUCAUGAAAGAAUUUAUAAGAAUCGUGAUGAAGCAUCUGAUCUAGAUUUAGUUGAUAAUUUAAAUCUUAAGAAGCAUUGUGAGUAAGUGGUAGCAUAUUCACUCCCUUUGAGAGAUGUUGAGGAACAAAUUACGCCAAAAAGUUGGUAAAGAUGAUCAUGAUGCAGAUCAUGAGGUCUUUGGAUCAAACUUAUUUCAAAAAGAAACAAAAAAGUUUUCAGAUUAAUAAUAGUGUUUUCUGGUUCUUGUGCCAAUGUUUUGGAAAUCUCUACAAUGAAAGUGGGAAAAAAAAAGUAUGAUAAUUUGAGACUGAAUGUCUAACUCUAAAUAGCGAAGCCUACUUUUGAAAUAUGUCAUACUCUUACUUAAGCCUUAUUACAAUACAAAAGUCCUCUAAAAGUGUAUGUGUUUGUUGCAUUGUGAUUGCUACCUAGAAUUCUUUCAACUCUAUGAUAGAGUGAUGCAUGUUCUAGGACUUGAGUGAUAAACUCAUAACCCUGAAAAGAAAGAAUUGAGAGAAAUUUUGGUGAGAUUGUGUAAGAGAGAGUUGAACUUGAUAAAUGAAUGUCUAAUGUGUUGUUCUAAUUUUACAAAAAAAAUUUGGAGAUGUUAAACAACCUUUAAGCAUGAUGGGUGUAUUGUAGUAGCAUGAACUUUGAGGAUUGAGUGUGAUUUGAUUUGAGGAAUUGAGUUUAACUUUGCUCUUAACUGUUACCCGAUUUAAAUUUAAUUGUAGCUUAGAGACAAACAACAAACUAAGUUUGGGUCAUUCUUCACCAUAUGCAUAUUUUUAAUUGUUUAGUCUUAUCUAUCUUUAAUCAUCUCUUAAUUUAGGGAGUUUUUGAAUUUAAUGAAGUGUUUAUUUUCUUGUUUCCUCGAUUUAAGUAGAGAUUUUUUUUGUAGUUUUGCGUUGUUUUCGUGCAGUGCUGAAUUUUAGUGAGAAAUCAACAUGACUUAUGUGGAGUAUUUCAACCAUAUCUAGAGUUGUAAAUGUUCAAAUGGAGUCAAACUAAAUGCAAAGGAAAACUAAGAUCAAUAGCUACAACUUUCAGAAGAAAUUGAAACCAAAUUCAGACUCAAAAGAGAAUAAAAAUGCAUUAGAAGUUAGACAUUUGAUGUUGUGCGCUGGAGCGCAAAUGUCUACGCAUGAGACACAUUUAAGCAGUUUUCAAUAAUUUGUUUCUUUCCCAGGAGCGUUGGAGCCUCUUGUCUUGCGCUAGAGCGCACAACACUCUACAGAAUGAAUAAAAUUGUGUUUUUCUCAAAUUUUAGGAUUUUUUGGCUAUUUUGAAGUGUGGAGACUUGUGCCCUAGUGGAGAAAUUCAGAGGAGGAUGGUUCUGACACCAUUUAAGGAGUUUUAUCAAUAAUCAUUCAUGAAUGUUUAUUGUAAUUCUUCUUUAAUAUCUAUCUUUUUUUUUUCUUUGUCAUGAGUAACUAAACCCUCUUUGUUAGGGAUGAGUAGAACAUGAUGAAACUCUUGAAUAUAUAAUUUGAUUUCUGAUUAUUUGGAUGAAUUUAUUGAAUUAUUUUUCUCAUCUUUGUAUUUAAUGUUUUUUAUUGCUUGAUCACUUUUAAACUGUUUUAAGAUUUUUAUUUUGAAAUGAAAGUGGACUUGAUAAAUGUUUGAGAUGAGAAAUUCAUGACUUUGUAAUCAAGGAAUAAAUGCAGACAUGUGAAACCAAUUGAGAUAUUUGAAAAUGCAAUAGAUCAAUAUGAGAAUUCUUGAACAUAUAAGCUAAGUCUAAUCUUCAAUCCACUAAGGAAUUAUGAAUUACUUUGGAGUUAAAAUUUCUAUCACUAAGAAAAUAUGGCAAGAAUAAUAAAGAAAAUUCGGUAAUAAUUCAAUAAAGAAAUUCAAUAAUCAUACUCAAAUUAGAAACCGUAGUUGAAUUCAAAGUGAAACUCAUCCCUAAUAUUUUUCUCAUUAUAAAUUUCAAUACUCAUACUUUUGUACUUUGACAAAUAUACUAAAUCAAUUCGAAAAUACUUUUGUACUUUGACAAAUAUACUAAAUCAAUUUGGUAAUUUUUCUUUCUAGUAAGUUAAUAUAACGCAAUCAUUGAGUUCGACAUUCAGUAUUACCUUUUAAUUAUUACUACUUACAAAAAUUGAAUACAUUUACUGAAACACUAUCAAUUAUCAAUAUAUAUUAUCGUAGGUUAUUGGAGUGAUGCAAUGUCAUAUAUAAAAUUCCUUCAAAUUUGGAAGCAUAUUUACAUUCUAGAUAUUUAGUGGAUAAUAUGACAUAUCCAAAUGUUACUAACACACACUAAUGAUAAUAUACAUUUCAAAAUUAUUCAUGACUUUGGAGUAUUGUUGAAUUAUUUUAAGGAUAGGGAUCCUAUUGAAACAUAAGGUAGGAAGAGAAAGCAGCAAUAGAAUAAGAAAAAAUAAUAUAUAGAAGAAAUUGAAGUUAUAUAAUACCUAUCGAAAGGUUAGAAAACCUACUUAAUAAAUAGAGUAGUUUUUGCAUUUUUUUUUCUUUCUAUUUUCUUUUUCCUAUGUUUAGGUAACAAAUUUUGGUUUUUACUUUUCUCUUAAUAAAAUACUAAGCAUAUUAAAAAAUUGUUUCAUAUGUGCUUGUAGAACUCUUCUCAAUUUUGAAGAGUCUUGAGAGUAUAUGUCAAUUAUUUCCAAAUAGGACAAAUGAAAAUGGAAAGGAUGUGGAUCAAAAGGCAUUAGGUGAAAAAGUUGAGCUUGUAAUUUUUCACGAAAUGUGCAGCUUAUUUCAAUAUGUUUUGUGCAUUCAUGAAAAGUUCAAUUGAAAGUUAUAUGACAUGUAGAUUUUGUCACAAUAAAGAAAGGUAGGCGUUGUGAAAGGAACCUAAAGAUCGCGAAGAACAUAUUGAGCCACUAAAGUUCACAAGUAGUUGUAGCGAGAGCGCAAUAUUUAGCCUCUGACAAAGAGCGAGACACGUUUGCUUGCUUUUUGAAACACCAUGUGACAAAAGAAUCACCCUAAUAAAUACAAAAAUCCAUGACUGAACAAUGAGUGGUUGGACAACAAGUCCAAUUGAUAGUGUGAGUGAAUGAACAGUUGCUCGCUAACAAUGUCGAUCAGAGAUGUCGAGUUGUUAUAAGUUAAAUGUUGGAUAUAUAAGAUAAAUGACUCAUAUACUCAUUUCUUUAAAAAAAUUGGUAGAGUUGUAGUGUCGAAAUCUUUUGUAGAUCCGAAACAUUUAGUUCAUUGUUGUUCUUGUACUCCCUAAUACCUUGCAAUUAUACGAGUUUUUUUUAAUUAUUUUCUUUAUAAAAAAAUGCGUUCAAAAAAAUUUUCAAAUUUUUUCUAUUAAAUUAGACUUGAUUCCGUAAAUGAAUUUUGAGGUCGUAACUUAUGUUCUUCAUUUUUUCUCCAGAAAAUACUUGGGGUAAAAGUAAUAUAGUUUAUAUUGAUUGAUAAAAAAUAUUUUUAGAUGCAUAAUCAUUAAGAGUAUGUAAACAUUUUCUUUAUAAAUAAUUAACAGUAAUUAAGUGAAUUAUGUAGACAUUUUUGUCAAUGUGCACAAAUAGAUUUUGUUCUUUUAUAUUAAUAUUUAAAAUUAUUCGUCAAUUUUCAAUUAAUAAACUAAGACUCAAAAUAAUUGGAUAGAAGAGUUUAUGUACAGUUCAGGGGAAUUAAGGAUAGAGAACUGUUACAUGAAACGAUUUAUUAAAUAUAGUAGCAUUUAUAAAGUCUUUUUCUCAACAGUAAAAUUACUGUGACAAUAAAUGACAUACGCCAGAAGUUCUGCUGAUGAUCCCAAAUUAAAUUUACAUGGUGUAGUAGUAGUUUCAAUUAAUAUAGCCAAUAAAAUCAAACAUGAGAGGGAGGCCAUAAUUGAAAAAAAAUUCCUCUUCAAAAUUUUCAUAAAAUUCAAAUAUGAGAAGGAGCCAAUGAAAAAAUAUUAUAAAAAAUAAAUUAUAGAACACUUAAGUUUAAAUUAUAUUUUACCAAUUACUUUAUAGUCCUAAUUUGCAAUUAUUUUUAUAUUGUGAAAAAUUCAAAUAAAAAUAAGUACAAAAUUCUUACCAAUUUUUCUUCUUGAAAUGCUUCUUUGAAGAGUACCUUGAAAAGCUGGACACCAUUACUCUGAUGAUGAAGUUCUUGAGAUGACAUAGUUCAAUCUUCUAGGGAACAAACGUACAAAAUUAUGU
rnacentral:lncRNA from 1 species